GAUGAACGCUGGCGGCGUGCUUAACACAUGCAAGGCGAGCGAAGCGCUUAAGUUCGAUUCUUCGGAUGAAAACUUUUGUGACUGAGCGGCGGACGGGUGAGUAACGCGUGGGUAACCUGCCUCAUACAGGGGGAUAACAGUUAGAAAUGGCUGCUAAUACCGCAUAAGACCACAGUACUGCAUGGUACAGUGGUAAAAACUCCGGUGGUAUGAGAUGGACCCGCGUCUGAUUAGGUAGUUGGUGAGGUAACGGCCCACCAAGCCGACGAUCAGUAGCCGACCUGAGAGGGUGACCGGCUCAUUGGGACUGAGACACGGCCCAGACUCCUACGGGAGGCAGCAGUGGGGAAUAUUGCACAAUGGGCGAAAGCCUGAUGCAGCGACGCCGCGUGAAGGAUGAAGUAUUUCGGUAUGUAAACUUCUAUCAGCAGGGAAGAAAAUGACGGUACCUGACUAAGAAGCCCCGGCUAACUACGUGCCAGCAGCCGCGGUAA
rnacentral:rRNA from 1 species